rnacentral:rRNA from 1 species
GGCGCUUUGGCUUUGGCAGCGGUCCAAGUUCCUUGGAACAGGACGUCACAGAGGGUGAGAAUCCCGUACGUGGUCGCUGGCUAUUGCCGUGUAAAGCCCCUUCGACGAGUCGAGUUGUUUGGGAAUGCAGCUCUAAAUGGGAGGUACAUUUCUUCUAAAGCUAAAUAUUGGCCAGAGACCGAUAGCGCACAAGUAGAGUGAUCGAAAGAUGAAAAGCACUUUGGAAAGAGAGUCAAACAGCACGUGAAAUUGUUGAAAGGGAAGCGCUUGCAGCCAGACUUGCUUACAGUUGCUCAUCCGGGUUUCUACCCGGUGCACUCUUCUGUAGGCAGGCCAGCAUCAGUUUGGGCGGUAGGAUAAAGGUCUCUGUCACGUACCUCCUUUCGGGGAGGCCUUAUAGGGGAGACGACAUACUACCAGCCUGGACUGAGGUCCGCGCAUCUGCUAGGAUGCUGGCGUAAUGGCUGUAAGCGGCCCGU